CAGUUUAUACAUUAGUUGUUGUUGUUUUUAUUAUUUUUCAAAAAUUGUAACUUUCACUCUCUCUCAGAGAAUGAUGACAGCAUGCAAAUGCAUCAUCAAACAACUAAUAAAUUGAUGAAGCCUUAGGUCACAUUUUACUUUCUCAGUUCUCAUUAUUUUCAGUUUCACUCUCUCUUCUCUUCCAUGGAAUCGUAAGAUUUGAGGACAAGAGCUUCCACGUUUAUCAGGUUGUGAUCUCAAAAUGGGGAAAUCACCAGGAAAAUGGAUCAAGACCGUACUAUUUGGGAAAAAGUCAUCCAAAUCAAAUAUUUCAAAAGGAAGAGAGAAGUUUGUUAAUAAAAAAGAAGCAGUGGUUUCUUCCAACGAGUUGGAAAAUGGUUUGUCUUUAGAUCCAACCCCCGAUGAGAUUGCUACAAAUGAGGAGGACCAUGAACUGGAGAAUGAAGAAUCAGAAAAUAUUUUACCUGACAAUCAAGAAAGAGACAUUAUUGGAUCUGUUGACCCGGAUGCACCACCUGAUCCAGAGAAAAUCAGGCUGGAGCAAGCAGCAUCAAAGGCACAAGCUGCUUUCAGGGGUUACUUGGCACGAAGGGCAUUUAGGGCCCUGAAAGGCAUAAUAAGGUUGCAAGCACUUAUUCGUGGGCACUUGGUUAGGAAACAAGCCGUUGUUACAUUAUGCUGCAUGUAUGGAAUUGUAAAGUUACAAGCACUUGUCCGUGGAGGAAGGAUUAGACAGUCUAAUGAAAUCCAUGAGAAGUGCAAUCUAUUUAAGCCUCUGGAUGCAAAACUUGGUGAGCCAGUUGGUAUCUCCACAAAAAUUUCAAAGCUGACUGCAAAUACUUUCAUCCAUAAGCUUCUUGCUUCAUCAAUUACAAUAAUGGCACUGCAACUGCAAUAUGUUAAUGGAGAUCCAAAUUCAGUCUUAAGUUGGUUGGAGCGCUGGUCAGCAUCUUACUUUUGGAAACCAGUUCCCCAACCCAAGAAAAUUCGAGACUCUAAAUCUCAGAGAAAGCAGGGUAAUGUUUCAAAUGGGGAAGCUCAAAUUACCAAGUCAAAACGCACUACCAGGAAGCUUCCUAUUGCAAAUUUUGAAACAGCCCUGGAGCAAACAAAUCCUGAAUUCGAGAAACCAAAACGUAAUUUCAGGAAAACACCAUACCAAGUGUCAGAUCCAGAGCAAGAAAAUCCACAAAGUGAGCUUGAAAAGGUUAAACGUAGCUUGAGAAAGAUUCAUAACCCUGUUGUUGAGAAUGCUGGUCAGCCAGAAGUUGAAAGUGAGACCCCCAAGCAGCAUUUGGAAAUGACGAAAGUUAUUCCGGGUCACGCUGUUUUAGAACAAGCGACCAUUACUUCUGAUGAUAAGAUCAAGAUGGAAGAAACUUCAACCAUCUCGAAUGUGCCUGAUGUCGAAAUCACUCCAAUACCAUCAGUCAACAAGGAAGUGUCUGAGAUUCUAAACAAUUAUCAAGUGUCUGUAGAAUCAAAGCCCUUGUCAGAGACUCCAACUAAAGAUAGGAACACUUCUCAUGACGAAGUUAAAAACAAGCUAGGCAACCUACCAGAGACUAUUUUCAAAGAUGAAAACUCCCUAUUAACAAAUGGAGAUUUGAGUCAUAGUGAUCUGACAGGUAAUGAAAACCAGAAACCUACCCGUAAAAUCUCAAAUUUGACAAAGCAGGAGAAUGGAGAAGACGGCAUAAAGAACAGUCCAAAAUUACCAAGUUAUAUGGCAGCAACUGAAUCUGCCAAGGCAAAGUUGAGGGCACAAGGGUCCCCAAGGUUUGGACAAGAUGGGACUGAGAAAAACAACACUGCUGGUGGUUCUGGGAGGCAUUCUCUGCCAUCUUCAACUAACAACCAGAUUAGUUCGCAUUCACCUAAGCCACAGAGAUCAGUUCCGGCAGGUGGCAAAGGGGGAAACAAAAGUGACAGAACAGUACCAUCUUCUAAAGCAGGGAAUGGGAAGGUAACUCAAGCUGAGUGGAGGAGGUAAGUGAGGGAAACCUGGUUUUCAGGUAUUGAACACGAGGAGGUUGAAAAUUGUGUGGAUUACAAACACAUAUAGGAUCAGGUCUUUGAAUAGAACCAUCAACAAACUCAGAUUUUUUCUUCGCGCUUAAUGCAGUAAGCAUAUUCAACUCCAUGAAUUAUAAUUAGAUGAAUCAAGAACCGAAGAAACCAAAGCUAUCGCUGGAUUUUCUCCCGAAUGAAGGUAAUAGGGUAUGUGUACAUUGAGGGAUUGAUCUUGUUGUUGCUGUUCACUCAUGAUGUAAGAAUGAAAGAUAUGAUAAUCGAGAGGAAGAAUGUCAGUCGUGCAGCAGAGCUCUUCAAAGAUACCAUCAUAAUCAUAGAUUUGAUAUCUGCCAUGUGAGAGAAAUGCAAGAUUGGAAAACUUGCAGAGAAAGCAAAAGAGAAAAGAAGGAUAAGCUUGAUCUGUUAUUGAAGUGUAAAAUUGGUUAGUUACAUUUUGUUAUUGUAGCUAUAUAUACAUAAGUUAGUUGAAAUAACUAAUUUUCAACUAACUAACUAGAGUUCUAACCAUUGACCAUGAUCAAACUAAACUAAGGAUCUAACUAUGCUAAGACAUGAUGCCUCAUGCCUGUUUUCUUUUUUUCCUA